rnacentral:rRNA from 1 species
UACGUAGGGUGCGAGCGUUAAUCGGAAUUACUGGGCGUAAAGCGUGCGCAGGCGGUUUUGUAAGUCUGUCGUGAAAUCCCCGGGCUCAACCUGGGAAUGGCGAUGGAUACUGGGCAGCUAGAGUGUGUCAGAGGAUGGUGGAAUUCCCGGUGUAGCGGUGAAAUGCGUAGAGAUCGGGAGGAACAUCAGUGGCGAAGGCGGCCAUCUGGGACAACACUGACGCUGAAGCACGAAAGCGUGGGGAGCAAACAGG